rnacentral:rRNA from 1 species
ACGAACGCUGGCGGCGUGCUUCACACCUGCAAGUCGAACGGAAAGGCCUGCUUUCCCUUGUGGAUUGCGGGUACUCGAGUGGCGAACGGGUGAGUAACACGUGAGUGAUCUGCCCCCAACUUGGGUAUAAGCCUGGGAAACUGGGUCUAAUUCCCGAUAGGACUGCAGGGUGGUGCCUGUGGUGGAAUACGAUUUUCUAGUGGUUGGGGAUGAGCUCGCGGCCUAUCAGCUUGUUGGUGGGGUAAUGGCCUACCAAGGCGGCGACGGGUAGCCGGCCUGAGAGGGUGGACGGGCGCAUUGGGACUGAGAAACGGCCCAGACUCCGACGGGAGGAAGCAGUGGGGAAUAUUGCACAAUGGGCGGAAGCCUGAUGCAGCGACGCCGCGUGGGGGAUGACGGCCUUCGGGUUGUAAACUCCUUGCGACCGCGAGGAAGCCACCUGGUUGGAAGGGUGGUGACGGUAGUGGUAGAAGAAGCACCGGCUAACUACGUG